CCUGCGCGUGUUAGAACACAAAAUAGUCCUUAAGUGAAACCCACUGACACUAAAACAAAACGAGUAAAGACUGUAUGUAGGUUAAAUCUGCUAACAUGAUGCUAUCGGGACCAGGUGGUGGUACUCUGUUAAUGCGCAUCGCGUUUUUGCGCGUUUUGUUCACAGGUCAUUUCCAACCAGCUCAGCAUGAGAUACCGGUAUCAAGCUAUCUGUGAAAUCUUAAAUUACAACAGGACACAAAGAGUUAAAUUGUCCAAAUCAUCCACUGAUCCAGUACUGGUGGAGGAGGAAGCAGGAAGUAGUGCACACGAUUCGCAUCGCGCCCACUGUUGACUCAGGCGUACCUCACAGAGGGAUGCGUAUCAACAGAUGUGUCAGUAUCACAGUGAAGACACUGCGGCGGUGGGGUAGGACUGGAUCAGCCACACGUUAUUGAUAAUAAAGGCCAUGGAGGGUCUCUCUCAGCAGGCUUCCCAGGUGGGGUAAACGAGCAGACGGUUCCCAAAACUCUUCACCAUGGCGGACAGCACCUCUACACCAUUGACUGUCUUCUGCAAGCUGUGUCUCAGCCACAAUGAAGAGAGAGACACCAGCGCACUGCACGCCUGUGGGUGUGUGUUCUGCACUCAGUGUCUGCAGCACUAUGUCAGCCUGGCUGUGCGUGAGGGUGGGGGUGCCCUCAUCACCUGCCCUGACCUGGCCUGUCGGGGCGCGGAAGGACUCUCUGACUCAGAGGUCGCCUGCUUUGUGUCUGAGGGCCAGGCUGAACUGUACAAGCGGCUGAAGUUUGAGAGAGGUACUGUAUGGUGGCUGAUGCUUGUUCAGGUGAUUGUAGGUCACCUCAGGUCCACUGGGGGUCAUCUGGGGGCAUUAAUGAUGAUAAUAAUGAAUUCCCCUCAGGGUUGGUAGUUCAACGUGAAAUUGAGAAAAAAAACCCUCUCUGUAAAGCUUUUGUAAUAUCUUUUAAAAUGUUCUUGUUUUGAAGUCUCAGUUAGAAAAUUGUAUCGGGAAACUAGGAAUAUUUGUUUGCGUGUUAUGGUGACAAACGGUCACCCCAACAUCCCCGAAGAACAUAACACCUUUGUGUGAAUCCCAAAGGAAAGCAACUGACGAAGGGUCAAAACAAAGUUCAUGAAGGAGGCCCUUUCAGGCGCUGCAGGCCAGACAAAGAGCUCAUUUAAAGUGGAAUAAG